rnacentral:rRNA from 1 species
CUACGGGAGGCAGCAGUAAGGAAUAUUCCACAAUGAGCGAAAGCUUGAUGGAGCGACACAGAGUGCAGGAUGAAGUCUUUAGGGAUGUAAACUGCUGUUGUAAGGGAAGAAAAAACUAGAUAGGAAAUGAUUUAGUCUUGACGGUACCUUAUUAGAAAGUGACGGCAAACUAUGUGCCAGCAGCCGCGGUAAUACAUAGGUCGCAAGCGUUAUCCGGAAUUAUUGGGCGUAAAGCGUCCGCAGGUUUUUUGUUAAGUUUAAGGUUAAAUGCUAAAGCUCAACUUUAGUUCGCUUUAGAUACUGACAAAAUAGAAUUAUGAAGAGGUUAGCGGAAUUCCUAGUGGAGCGGUGGAAUGCGUAGAUAUUAGGAAGAACACCAAUAGGCGAAGGCAGCUAACUGGUCAUAUAUUGACACUAAUGGACGAAAGCGUGGGGAGCAAACAGGAUUAGAUACCCUGGUAGUCC